rnacentral:rRNA from 1 species
AUACGGAGGACGCGAGCGUUAUCCGGAUUCAUUGGGUUUAAAGGGUGCGCAGGUGGCCGUGCAAGUCAGCGGUGAAAGCCCGGGGCUCAACCCCGGAAGUGCCGUUGAUACUGCAUGGCUGGAAUGCGGUCGAGGCGGGCGGGAAGUGGCGUGUAGCGGUGAAAUGCGUAGAUAUGCCACAGAACGCCGAGAGCGGAGGCGGCUCGCCAGGCCUGCAUUGACGCUCGGGCACGAAAGCGUGGGGAUCGAACAGGAUUAGAUACCCUGGUAGUCCACGCCGUAAACGAUGGGCGCUCGUCGUCGGCGGCAGACAGUCGGCGGCCAAGCGAAAGCGAUAAGCGCCCCACCUGGGGAGUACGGUCGCAAGGCUGAAACUCAAAUGAAUUGACGGGG